UGAGGAAUAUUGGUCAAUGGACGCAAGUCUGAACCAGCCAAGUAGCGUGCAGGAUGACGGCCCUAUGGGUUGUAAACUGCUUUUAUAUGGGGAUAAAGUGGGGAACGUGUUCCCUUUUGCAGGUACCAUAUGAAUAAGGACCGGCUAAUUCCGUGCCAGCAGCCGCGGUAAUACGGAAGGUUCGGGCGUUAUCCGGAUUUAUUGGGCGUAAAGCGCGCGCAGGUGGUUUAGAAAGUCUGAUGUGAAAGCCCACGGCUCAACCGUGGAGGGUCAUUGGAAACUAAUAAACUUGAGUGCAGGAGAGAAAGGUGGAAUUCCUAGUGUAGCGGUGAAAUGCGUAGAGAUUAGGAGGAACACCGGUGGCGAAAGCGGCUUUUUGGCCUGCAACUGACGCUGAGGCGCGAAAGCGUGGGGAGCAAACAGG
rnacentral:rRNA from 1 species